rnacentral:miRNA from 12 species
AGUGCAGAGGGUGGUGAGCAUGC